rnacentral:rRNA from 1 species
UACGUAGGAGGCGAGCGUUGUCCGGAUUUACUGGGCGUAAAGGGCGCGCAGGCGGCCCACCAAGUACGAUGUGAAAUCCCCGGGCUCAACCUGGGAACUGCAUUUGUGACUGCAUGGCUAGAGUACGGCAGAGGGGGAUGGAAUUCCGCGUGUAGCGGUGAAAUGCGUAGAUAUCAGGAGGAACACCGGUGGUGUAGACGGCUUUCUGGACCGUAACUGACGCUGAGACACGAAAGCGUGGGUAGCAAACAGG